GCCAGCCUGGGCUACAUAGUGAGUUCAAGGACAGUCUAAAUGACAUAGUGAGAUCUUGUCUCAGAGAGAGAGAGAGAAAUUUGGACACAGACAUGCACAGAAGGAAAGCAAUGUGAAGAAACACGAAGAGAGGGUAAAAAAGCCAUGUGAUGAUGGAGACGGAGACUGGGGUGAUGCUGCUGCAGGCCAGGGAGCACCUGACACCACCAGAAUCUAGAAAGAGGAAAGGAAGGAUUCUACCCAGAGUCAGAGAGAACAUGGCCCUUCUGACACCUUGAUUUUAGACUUCUCAUCUCCAGAACUGUAAGACAGUUAGUCUCUGCCAUUUUAAACUGUCCAGUUUGUGCUACUUUGUUGUGGCAGCCCUGGGAAAUGCAUACAAGCACCAAGUACUACAAUAGCUAUAACUGUAAUAUUUAUGGAAGGGGGAAGGAAAGGGGAAGAAGGGAGGGAGGAAGGAAGAAAGGAAGAAAGGAAGGAAUGAAGGAAGGAAGGAAGGAGAGAGAGGAGAGAGAGAGAAAGAGAGAGAGAGAAAAGACAAGAAAAGAAGAAAAUGCAACUCUCUCCCUAUCACCUGACCCUCACAUAUCAUUCCUGAGAAAAAGUGGGACAUGGUCCUGAGAUGCCUUUUGUAUUCCCAAGAUUCUUGUCAAGUCAAAGGGACAUUGUAAGUGUGCCCAGACUGGACUGUCUGGAUAAGUAUUAACUAAAGAACAAUGGAAACUUGUCAAACUACUGCUGUCUGUAGGAGCUGCCUUCCUGCCUGUAGGCUAGCAAGUGAGUGUGGAGUGAAGCACUGUGGAGAGGAUAAGUGCUAAUUGUCCAGCCACUCAUCACUGGACCUCCCACAUGGUGCUAUCGUUGAGUACACACCCCUCAUGGACUUGCUGAACACCACUGUUGAUAAAUACACGUCCCUUGUGGAUCUUCAGAGUAGCACUGUUGGAUCCAUAUGUGCUUCUCAUGGACGCUUCCCUAUUAGUAAGUCUUAAUAAGCCUUGUAGCUCUCAGCUAUCUCCAGAUAUUUUCUUUAGUCUCUCACUGCCCUUAGCAAAGCUGGGCUGUGGACAGGAUGACCUGUUUCAUUUCCAACAAUUACCAGUCUUUAGGCCCUGGAUUUGAGAAGAAGAGAUUUCUUCCAGAAAGUAUUGUAAACAUACACUUGACACAUUCUUCUGAAAGAGGAAGUAAGUGAAGCUGAGGAAAUAUUUCCUUCAGAUAACCAACUGACACGAUAAUAAUGCAAGGUUAUGAAGCUCAGAUAUCCCCCAUGGACUCAUAAGCUUAGAGAGAGAAUGAAACACUUUCUAAAAAAAAAAUCUUAUAAAGCCAGCAUUGUAUAAUUUCUCUUAAAUGUCUUCUGGGCAUCAGUAGCCUAUAAAUAGACAGUGCAUCUGGUGUGGAAACCAUGGUAGAGGAGAGCAAAGGAUAGGAUGAGGCUCUUAGACAGACUCCAAGCUCUGGAUCUUUCCAGGCUCACCCAGUCUGCUGCAGGGAUGGGGUGGGACCAUGUCCAAGGGCUGAGGGCUGCACUGAGGACCCUGAGGGGCAACGUGCCAGGGCACAGUGAGACAAAGGUGGAAGGUGGGCCAGCUCAUCUAUAAAGCAGGGAAGGAAUAAAUCCUCUGUCCCCAUCUUUGCCCAGCAGUUGAUGAGCCACUGCUGAAAGAGAUGAGGAUUAAUAUUUGCAUUAUUUUUGUAUGACUGCUACAGCAAACUGUUGCAAAUUCAGUGGCUUAAAAUAACACUUAUAAAUUAUCCCAUGGUUCUAAAUGGC
ensembl:lncRNA